rnacentral:rRNA from 1 species
CAGCAGGCGCGAAAACUUUACAAUGCUGGCAACAGCGAUAAGGGGACCUCGAGUGCCAGGAUACAAUCUUGGCUGUCGCGAUGCCUAAAAAGCAUUGCAUAGCAAGGGCCGGGCAAGACCGGUGCCAGCCGCCGCGGUAACACCGGCGGCUCGAGUGGUAACCGCUAUUAUUGGGUCUAAAGGGUCUGUAGCCGGCCGGAUAAGUCUUUUGGGAAAUCCAGCUGCUCAACAGUUGGGCUUUCAGAAGAUACUGUUCGGCUCGAGACCGGGAGAGGUGAGAGGUACUUCAGGGGUAGGGGUGAAAUCUUGUAAUCCUUGAAGGACCACCGGUGGCGAAGGCGUCUCACCAGAACGGAUCUGACGGCAAGGGACGAAAGCUAGGGGCACGAACCGGAUUAGAUACCCGGGUAGUCCUAGCCGUAAACGAUACUCGCUAGGUGUCAGCCACGGUGCGACCGUGGUUGGUGCCGUAGGGAAGCCGUGAAGCGAGCCACCUGGGAAGUACGGCCGCAAGGCUGAAACUUAAAGGAAUUGGCGGGGGAGCAC